CUCUCUAUAGCUCAGCUGGAAGAGCGCAAGACUGUAAUGGAAAACUUCAUCUCAGGUGGAAUCUUGAGGUCCGCGGUUCGAUCCCGCGUGGGGAGA